AAAUGACUCUCGGCAACGGAUAUCUCGGCUCUCGCAUCGAUGAAGAACGUAGCAAAAUGCGAUACGUGGUGUGAAUUGCAGAAUUCUGUGAACCAUCGAGUUUUUGAACGCAAGUUGCGCCCGAAGCCAUUCGGCCGAGGGCACGUCUGCCUGGGCGUCACGC
rnacentral:rRNA from 1 species